rnacentral:tRNA from 1 species
CAGGGAGACAACAAAAUGUUUAAUAUUAUUAUUUUGUCACCUUAGGUCGAUCGGUAUCUCACGUUCUUAAUUAAUUAAGAAUUUCAUUUCCUAAGUUUUUCUAGGUUACACCCAUUAUUUUCCUGGGCCAUUAGCUCAGGUGGUUAGAGCGCACCCCUGAUAAGGGUGAGGUCCCUGGUUCAAGUCCAGGAUGGCCCAUAUCUCUAUGUUGGGGGUAUAGCUCAGUUGGUAGAGCGCCUGCUUUGCAAGCAGGAUGUCAGCGGUUCGAGUCCGCUUACCUCCACUGAUUACCACCUCUUCCAUAAUCUGUAGAAAGGAAAAUUUUUGAGUUGUGAUCACAAUUCUGAACGAAUCUAGCUUCCUAAUGAAACCAUUAAGAUGCUGGACUCAUUGAAUUAAUUUCAUUGUUUUCAGAGAACCUUGACAACUGCAUAGAUUAUUUUUAAAGACAAUAAGCAUCUUUAAUGAUGCAGAUUUAUUAUUUGUGCAAAUGCAUUAAUAACAAUUCUAUUAAGCUGAUGCUUCAAUUAUGAAGUUAUU